rnacentral:lncRNA from 1 species
UAAUUAAUUUGUGGUUGGUUGGUAUAUAAACACAAUUAUAUUAAAAAAAUGAUUAUGCAAUAGAGAAACAUAAUUGAGUUUUGACCAUAUAUGACAGGAGUAUUAUAUACAGAAAAAAAGAAAAAAGAAAUUUCAAUUGGGUAGCUUGUAAGAAUAGUUAUAAUUCCUAUAUUUUUAAACAUUCCCUAAAAAUAAAAAUAAAAAGAAAAAUGAAAUAGUUUUUAACUACGCAAUGUGUUAUGUAAUAUAGAGACAGACAGUAAAGAUAGGGUUGAGAUGAGUUUUGGGUCAGUUUAUGUCUACUUCCUGCCGCC